rnacentral:rRNA from 1 species
GACGAACGCUGGCGGCGUGCCUAAUACAUGCAAGUCGAACGCAGUGGGGACGGGUGAGUAACACGUGGGUAACCUCCCAUCAGAGGGGAUAACACUUGGAAACAGGUGCUAAACCGAUACUGAUGGAUGGACACGCGGUGCAUUAGCUAGUUGGUGAGGUAACGGCUCACCAAGGCCACGAUGCAUAGCCGGCCUGAGAGGAUGAUCGGCCACACUGGGACUGAGACACGGCCCAGAAUCCUACGGGAGGCAGCAGUAGGGAAUAUUGGGCAAUGGACGAAAGUCUGACGGAGCAACGCCGCGUGAGUGAAGAAGGUUUUCGGAUCGUAAAACUCUGUUGUUAGAGAAGCGGUAUCUAAAGAGAAAGCAACGGCUAACUACGUGCCAGCAGCCGCGGUAAUUC